rnacentral:tRNA from 1 species
AUCAAGUUAGUUUAAAAAAAAUUUUGGGUUGUGGUCCUAAUGAUGGGAGGUGAAUUCCCACUUGAUA